rnacentral:tRNA from 1 species
UUGUAGCUCAGUGGUAGAGUAUGUGCUUAGCAUGCACGAGGCCCUGGGUUUGAUUCUGAGCAA